GGGGAUUUAGCUCAGUGGCAUAAGCACCUGCCUUGCAAGCAGGCAGUCGUAAGUUCGAUCCCAGGUCCCG
rfam:Cavia porcellus supercont2_99 genomic scaffold, whole genome shotgun sequence.